UACGUAGGGUGCAAGCGUUAAUCGGAAUUACUGGGCGUAAAGCGUGCGCAGGCGGUUGUGUAAGACAGAUGUGAAAUCCCCGGGCUCAACCUGGGAACUGCAUUUGUGACUGCACAGCUGGAGUGCGGCAGAGGGGGAUGGAAUUCCGCGUGUAGCAGUGAAAUGCGUAGAGAUGUGGAGGAAUACCGAUGGCGAAGGCAGCCCCCCUGGGUCAAGAUUGACGCUCAUGCACGAAAGCGUGGGGAGCAAACAGG
rnacentral:rRNA from 1 species